UGACAACAAGGACCUAAAUAACUGAGGAAAAAACGUUGAGCUAUAUAUUGACUAUAGCUGCUGUCAUGAAGAACAUAUAUUUGUAUGUGCGUGUCAUGGUUUUAUGAUUUUUGGUUAUUGGUAUUCCACAUCAUAACAUCAUGUAGUGUAUGUACCUGGUUCUCAGAAGAGAAGGACUACUACAUGAUUAUAACUACCUGAAGGGAGGUUGUAGUGAGAUGGGGGUCGUCUCUUCUCUCUUGUAACUAGUGACAGGACGAGGGGGAAUGGCUUCAAGUUGCGCCAGGGGAGAUUUAGGCUGGACAUUAGGAAAUACUGCUUUUCUGAAAGAGUGGUCAGGCGCUGGAACGGGCUGCCCAGGGGGGUGGUGGAGUCACCGUCCCUGGAGGUGUUCAAGAAACAUUUAGAUACAGCGUUGAGAGACAUGGUUUAGUGGGGUUAUUGGUGGUAGGUGGAUGGUUGGACUGGAUGAUCUUGUAGGUCUUUUCCAACCUAACUAAUUCUAUGAUUCUAUGAUUCUAUGACUAAUCAUGUAGUUAAUCAUUUUUCCUUUUGAAACCAGGUUCAUCACACUGAAAGAAAAGUCAAAUGAGGAGAAGGACCAACCCCCUACAGUGCAUUGCAUCCCCAUCUGCUGACUGAAGUUUUGUCAGGCAUUUGCGUGGUUGCAGGGUGGACACUGUACCCACAGGCUGCACAGGACCUUGCCCAAGUCCUUCUCAGCAGCUCUGUCUUCAUCUGUGUGUGCUCCAUAUCAACACACGUGAAGGAGAGACCCCGAGGGGCAGCUCGUGUACUGACUGAACAUCUACUGCUGUGCCCGGGCUGCUCAUGGGUGUUGCUGAUGGAACAGGAGCAUUUAGACUUGAACACUCAGCCUGCAUGAUGGAGAUGCUGCAUGUGGGCUGGAUGCAACCUUCCCACCUGUUUGUUGUAUGCUUCGGUAGCCACAGUUAUGGUGGUCCUGUGCAUAGAGAUUGUCACAUUAAUUCUCUCUCUUGUUGUCUAUACCAUGUUUGAACCAUUCACCUCUGUCAUAAGAGAAUAUGUCAGUGCAUGACCGCCGUAGAGUCCAUCCUUCUGACAUAUCUCAGACGAAAAAUAAGAAUUC
rnacentral:lncRNA from 1 species